GUGGGGAAUCUUGCGCAAUGGGCGAAAGCCUGACGCAGCCAUGCCGCGUGAAUGAUGAAGGUCUUAGGAUUGUAAAAUUCUUUCACCGGGGACGAUAAUGACGGUACCCGGAGAAGAAGCUCCGGCUAACUUCGUGCCAGCAGCCGCGGUAAUACGAAGGGGGCUAGCGUUGCUCGGAAUUACUGGACGUAAAGGGCGCGUAGGCGGACAGCUUAGUCAGAGGUGAAAGCCCAGGGCUCAACCUUGGAAUUGCCUUUGAUACUGGCUGUCUUGAGUUUGGGAGAGGUGAGUGGAACUCCGAGUGUAGAGGUGAAAUUCGUAGAUAUUCGGAAGAACACCAGUGGCGAAGGCGACUCACUGGCCCAAUACUGACGCUGAGGCGCGAAAGCGUGGGGAGCAAACAGGAUUAGAUACCCCUGUAGUCC
rnacentral:rRNA from 1 species